rnacentral:rRNA from 1 species
UACGUAGGGGGCAAGCGUUGUCCGGAUUUACUGGGCGUAAAGCGCGUGUAGGCGGCUGGUUAGGUGUGAUGUGAAAUCCUCGGGCUCAACCCGAGAACUGCAUUGCAAACCGGCCUGGCUAGAGUGCAGGAGAGGGAAGCGGAAUUCCAGGUGUAGCGGUGAAAUUCGUAGAUAUUCGCAAGAACACCAGUGGCGAAGGCGGUUCUCUGGGCCUUACCUGACGCUGAGGAGCGAAAGCGUGGGGAGCGAACAGG